rnacentral:rRNA from 1 species
GAUUCCCCCAGUAGCGGCGAGCGAACGGGGAGCAGCCCAGAGCCUGAAUCAGUGUGUGUGUUAGUGGAAGCGUCUGGAAAGGCGUGCGAUACAGGGUGACAGCCCCGUACACAAAAAUGCACAUACUGUGAGCUCGAUGAGUAGGGCGGGACACGUGGUAUCCUGUCUGAAUAUGGGGGGACCAUCCUCCAAGGCUAAAUACUCCUGACUGACCGAUAGUGAACCAGUACCGUGAGGGAAAGGCGAAAAGAACCCCGGCGAGGGGAGUGAAAAAGAACCUGAAACCGUGUACGUACAAGCAGUGGGAGCACGCUUAGGCGUGUGACUGCGUACCUUUUGUAUAAUGGGUCAGCGACUUAUAUUCUGUAGCAAGGUUAACCGAAUAGGGGAGCCGAAGGGAAACCGAGUCUUAACUGGGCGUUAAGUUGCAGGGUAUAGACCCGAAACCCGGUGAUCUAGCCAUGGGCAGGUUGAAGGUUGGGUAACACUAACUGGAGGACCGAACCGACUAAUGUUGAAAAAUUAGCGGAUGACUUGUGGCUGGGGGUGAAAGGCCAAUCAAACCGGGAGAUAGCUGGUUCUCCCCGAAAGCUAUUUAGGUAGCGCCUCGUGAAUUCAUCUCCGGGGGUAGAGCACUGUUUCGGCAAGGGGGUCAUCCCGA